UGAAGCUCAAGCGGAUAUUUUUUCAAUAAAAAAUAGGCUGGGUCGUCGUGACAACUUCGAAAUGAACGGAUAUGGGAAUCGUACGGAUUAUAAUCAACAGCGCUACGGCAAGUUUGCUAGAUACCGGUCACGUAGCAGGAGUAGGGACGAAGGGGGAAAUAAUGAUCGCCGUUUUCGCAGUCGCAAACAGUUUAAUCAUUCGCGAGCUGUUUGUAACAGAUGCAAUCGUUCAGGUCAUUUGCGUAGAGAUUGCUGGUUCGAAAAAAAGAACGUGAACUUUGUAGAACAGGAAGAUCAAAAAACCGUUUCACCCACUGAUAAAUUUGAUCGUCUCCGUUUACAUGAUUCUAGUGAGGAAAGCGAAAUCAAUUGUAUGAUGAUCAAAACAAUUAGCAACAUUUCGGAAGCUUGUCUCGUAGAUGCGGUGGUAGAAGGACAGUGUCUUUCCAUGGAGGUGGAUACUGGUUCUGCUGUGUCCGUGAUGAGUGAUAGAUUAUACAAACAACGUUUUCGUACCCUGGUACGAAAUCGUGGUAGAUGGAGCCAAACUUGAUGUACUGGGACAGGUUCAAGUGUUUGUUAGUCUCAAUAAUCGGAUGAAAAUUGAAAAAUUGAUUGUUUUAAAAAGCCAAAAAGAUUUUAUACCACUACUAGGUCGAGACUGGAUGAAAACUUUUUAUCCACAAUGGAAGGCCAGUUUUUCGCAUGUUUCAUCUAUUAAUAAUGUUGUUUUGGAUGCAACAAGAGAAAAAACUCUGGGGGAAAUAAAACAAAAGUAUGCAAAAAUUUUCAAUAAAGACUUAACAGAACCUAUUUCAGGAUUUGAAGUUGAUUUACAUUUCAGGAUGGAGCAACCGAUUUUUAAAAGAGCCUAUCAGGUACCAUACAAACUCAAGGAAAAAAUUUUGAUUCAUUUGCAAGAACUAAAGAAGCAGGGUAUCAUAACACCAGUCAAAUCGAGUGAUUGGGCAUCUCCAGUCAUUGCGGUCUUAAAGAAAAACGAAGAAAUUCGUAUGAUAUCUUUGGAGAAGCAAGUUAUCAUGGCCCAUCGACACCAGUUAAAAAUGGUAUACAACCCGCAACGAAAGUGGAACGUGAUGAUCCGGUCAAAGGUUUCGCAGGGAAACCAACAACCUUACAAACGCCG